GCCGGCUGUACCCGAAGUCACCGCGUUAACCGCAAGGAAGCAGGUGCCGAAGGUAUGGAUGGUGAUUGGGAUGAAGUCGUAACAAGGUAGCCGUAGGUGAACCUGCAGAAGGAUCA
rnacentral:rRNA from 1 species